CACGUAGGCGGAUUGGAAAGUCAGAGGUGAAAUCCCAGGGCUCAACCUUGGAACUGCCUUUGAAACUCCCAGUCUUGAGGUCGAGAGAGGUGAGUGGAAUUCCGAGUGUAGAGGUGAAAUUCGUAGAUAUUAGGAGGAACACCAGUUGCGAAGGCGGCUCUCUGGACUGUAACUGACACUGAGGCACGAAAGCGUGGGGAGCAAACA
rnacentral:rRNA from 1 species